rnacentral:rRNA from 1 species
CUACGGGAGGCAGCAGUCUAGAAACUUCUACAAUGCACGUAAGUGUGAUAGAGCAAGCCAGAGUGCUUUUCCGUAUUGGAAAAGCUUUUGUGAGAUGUAAAAAGUCUCACGAAUAAGGACUGGGCAAGACUAGUGCCAGCCGCCGCGGUAAUACUAGCGGUCCAAGUCGCAAUCAUGUUUAUUGGGUCUAAAACAUCCGUAGCUUGUUUCGUAAGUCUCUUGUGAAAUCCUGCCUCUUAAGGGUAGAAGUGCAAGAGAUACUGCGAGGCUAGAGACCGGGAGACGCAAGGAGUACGGACGGGGUAGCGGUAAAAUGUGUUGAUCCUGUCUGGACUAACGAUAGCGAAGGCACCUUGCGAGAACGGAUCUGACAGUGAGGGAUGAAGGCUAGGGGCGCAAAACGGAUUAGAUACCCGCAUAGUC